AAAUUUAGCUAAUCCAAACAGGACUUCAAAGCCUAAAUACGAUAUAAACUCGUAUUCUG
rnacentral:tRNA from 1 species